GAUGAACGCUGGCGGCGUGCCUAAUACAUGCAAGUCGAGCGAACGGACGAGAAGCUUGCUUCUCUGAUGUUAGCGGCGGACGGGUGAGUAACACGUGGAUAACCUACCUAUAAGACUGGGAUAACUUCGGGAAACCGGAGCUAAUACCGGAUAAUAUUUUGAACCGCAUGGUUCAAAAGUGAAAGACGGUCUUGCUGUCACUUAUAGAUGGAUCCGCGCUGCAUUAGCUAGUUGGUAAGGUAACGGCUUACCAAGGCAACGAUGCAUAGCCGACCUGAGAGGGUGAUCGGCCACACUGGAACUGAGACACGGUCCAGACUCCUACGGGAGGCAGCAGUAGGGAAUCUUCCGCAAUGGGCGAAAGCCUGACGGAGCAACGCCGCGUGAGUGAUGAAGGUCUUCGGAUCGUAAAACUCUGUUAUUAGGGAAGAACAUAUGUGUAAGUAACUGUGCACAUCUUGACGGUACCUAAUCAGAAAGCCACGGCUAACUACGUGCCAGCAGCCGCGGUAAUACGUAGGUGGCAAGCGUUAUCCGGAAUUAUUGGGCGUAAAGCGCGCGUAGGCGGUUUUUUAGUCUGAUGUGAAAGCCCACGGCUCAACCGUGGAGGGUCAUUGGAAACUGGAAAACUUGAGUGCAGAAGAGGAAAGUGGAAUUCCAUGUGUAGCGGUGAAAUGCGCAGAGAUAUGGAGGAACACCAGUGGCGAAGGCGACUUUCUGGUCUGUAACUGACGCUGAUGUGCGAAAGCGUGGGGAUCAAACAGGAUUAGAUACCCUGGUAGUCCACGCCGUAAACGAUGAGUGCUAAGUGUUAGGGGGUUUCCGCCCCUUAGUGCUGCAGCUAACGCAUUAAGCACUCCGCCUGGGGAGUACGACCGCAAGGUUGAAACUCAAAGGAAUUGACGGGGACCCGCACAAGCGGUGGAGCAUGUGGUUUAAUUCGAAGCAACGCGAAGAACCUUACCAAAUCUUGACAUCCUUUGACAACUCUAGAGAUAGAGCCUUCCCCUUCGGGGGACAAAGUGGCAGGUGGUGCAUGGUUGUCGUCAGCUCGUGUCGUGAGAUGUUGGGUUAAGUCCCGCAACGAGCGCAACCCUUAAGCUUAGUUGCCAUCAUUAAGUUGGGCACUCUAAGUUGACUGCCGGUGACAAACCGGAGGAAGGUGGGGAUGACGUCAAAUCAUCAUGCCCCUUAUGAUUUGGGCUACACACGUGCUACAAUGGACAAUACAAAGGGCAGCGAAACCGCGAGGUCAAGCAAAUCCCAUAAAGUUGUUCUCAGUUCGGAUUGUAGUCUGCAACUCGACUACAUGAAGCUGGAAUCGCUAGNUAUCGUAGAUCAGCAUGCUACGGUGAAUACGUUCCCGGGUCU
rnacentral:rRNA from 1 species